rnacentral:rRNA from 1 species
UACGGGGGGGGCAAGCGUUGUUCGGAAUUACUGGGCGUAAAGGGCUCGUAGGUGGCCAACUAAGUCAGACGUGAAAUCCCUCGGCUUAACCGGGGAACUGCGUCUGAUACUGGAUGGCUUGAGUUUGGGAGAGGGACGCGGAAUUCCAGGUGUAGCGGUGAAAUGCGUAGAUAUCUGGAGGAACACCGAUGGCGAAGGCAGCCCCCUGGGUCAAGAUUGACGCUCAUGCACGAAAGCGUGGGGAGCAAACAGG